CUGGCGGCAUGCCUAACACAUGCAAGUCGAACGAGACCUUCGGGUCUAGUGGCGCACGGGUGCGUAACGCGUGGGAAUCUGCCCUUAGGUUCGGAAUAACAGUUGGAAACGACUGCUAAUACCGGAUGAUGACGUAAGUCCAAAGAUUUAUCGCCUAAGGAUGAGCCCGCGUAGGAUUAGCUAGUUGGUGUGGUAAGAGCGCACCAAGGCGACGAUCCUUAGCUGGUCUGAGAGGAUGAUCAGCCACACUGGGACUGAGACACGGCCCAGACUCCUACGGGAGGCAGCAGUGGGGAAUAUUGGACAAUGGGCGAAAGCCUGAUCCAGCAAUGCCGCGUGAGUGAUGAAGGCCUUAGGGUUGUAAAGCUCUUUUACCCGGGAUGAUAAUGACAGUACCGGGAGAAUAAGCUCCGGCUAACUCCGUGCCAGCAGCCGCGGUAAUACGGAGGGAGCUAGCGUUGUUCGGAAUUACUGGGCGUAAAGCGCACGUAGGCGGCUUUGUAAGUUAGAGGUGAAAGCCUGGAGCUCAACUCCAGAAUUGCCUUUAAGACUGCAUCGCUUGAAUCCAGGAGAGGUGAGUGGAAUUCCGAGUGUAGAGGUGAAAUUCGUAGAUAUUCGGAAGAACACCAGU
rnacentral:rRNA from 1 species